rnacentral:rRNA from 1 species
UACGUAGGGGGCAAGCGUUGUCCGGAAUUAUUGGGCGUAAAGAGCGCGUAGGCGGUCCGAUAAGUCGGCUGUGAAAGUCCAGGGCUCAACCCUGGAAAGCCGGCCGAUACUGUCGGACUAGAGUCCGGAAGAGGCAAGUGGAAUUCCCGGUGUAGCGGUGAAAUGCGCAGAUAUCGGGAGGAACACCAAUCGCGAAGGCAGCUUGCUGGGACGGUACUGACGCUGAGGCGCGAAAGCGUGGGGAGCAAACAGG